GACAGAGGGUGCAAACGUUGUUCGGAAUUACUGGGCGUAAAGGGCGCGUAGGCGGCCUGUUAAGUCGAACGUGAAAUCCCCGGGCUCAACCCGGGAACUGCGUCCGAUACUGGCAGGCUUGAAUCCGGGAGAGGGAUGCGGAAUUCCAGGUGUAGCGGUGAAAUGCGUAGAUAUCUGGAGGAACACCGGUGGCGAAGGCGGCAUCCUGGACCGGCAUUGACGCUGAGGCGCGAAAGCCAGGGGAGCAAACGGG
rnacentral:rRNA from 1 species